rnacentral:rRNA from 1 species
AGCCGCGGUAACACCGGCAGCUCUAGUGGUAACAAUUUUAUUGGGCCUAAAGCGUCCGUAGCCGGUUUAAUAAGUCUCUGGUGAAAUCCUGUAGCUUAACUGUGGGAAUUGCUGGAGAUACUAUUAGACUUGAGACCGGGAGAGGUUAGAGGUACUCCCAGGGUAGAGGUGAAAUUCUGUAAUCCUGGGAGGACCGCCUGUUGCGAAGGCGUCUAACUGGAACGGUUCUGACGGUGAGGGACGAAAGUUAGGGGCGCGAACCGGAUUAGAUACCCGGGUAGUCCUAACUGUAAACGAUGCGGACUUGGUGUUGGGUGGCUUUGAGCUGCUCCAGUGCCGAAGGGAAGCUGUUAAGUCCGCCGCCUGGGAAGUACGGUCGCAAGACUGAAACUUAAGGAAUUGGCGGGGGAGCACCACAACGCGUGGAGCCUGCCGGUUUAAUUGGAUUCAACGCCGGACAUCUCACCAGAGGCGACAGCUGUAUGAUAGCCAGGUUGAUGACUUUGCCUGACUAGCUGAGUGGAGGUGCAUGG